CAGCACCUCAGGAGUCUUCACUUGGCACCACAGCCUUUGCUUUGAGUCAUCUGGCCCCAAGAUGAACUCAGGAAAAAAAAAGCAAACACAUUUCUCCAGCUUUUUGGGACUCGCAAGAAGACGACGGCUCCUCUGGAAACUGCCAUAAGAAAUUCCCUCCAUCUGCCUGCCCACACCAGCCUCUGCUGCUGGAUUUGCAUCGCUCUGGUUCUCAGGGGCUUCUUGCAGAGAUCAUUCGGUCGGGGCUGCUGGUUCACAGGUUCAGGAAGAUGCCUGCACCUCGAAAAUGGGCAACCCAGCAGGUAGGGGCUUAACUAGGCUGGAUUUAUGCACUUCUGUGUGCUAAGAAGGAAGGCGAAGCCUGAAGAGUUUUUCCCAUCCAGUUACCUGAGCUGACCCAGGCAUGAGGAUAUGUACGUUUGCUUCCCAGC